rnacentral:lncRNA from 13 species
GAAAGGAUCUGUAAAAUACCCUGAUAAAAGAUUAGCAUGCCAAGGUUUUGUUAGUUGUUAAUAUGAAAAAGAUGACAUUGGCAAAAAGUAAAACUUUAGACUUUGGGAAAUGCUUCCAAUACUGAAGCUGCUGUCUUUGAUUUUAUUUUCUAGGUCAUUGUUUCCCAAACUAGAUGCUGAAUCCCGGUGAGACUGUGAAGAUAUUGUGAGCAUUCUUGGAGAUCAGAGCAGAAAAGAUCCAAUGGAGUUGCUCUACAUCAGUGGUUAAACUCAGUGGCUGUGUGUUCGAAUCAUCUGGGGACCUUGCAAAAAUCCCUAUAUCCAGACUAUGGCUCAAAUCAAUCAAAUCAUAAUCUCUGAAGAA